CCAGACUCCUACGGGAGGCAGCAGUGGGGGAUAUUGGACAAUAGGGGAAACCCUGAUCCAGCGACGCCGCGUGAGUGAAGAAGUAUUUCGGUAUGUAAAGCUCUGUCAGCAGGGAAGAAAGAAAUGACGGUACCUGACUAAGAAGCCCCGGCUAACUACGUGCCAGCAGCCGCGGUAAUACGUAGGGGGCAAGCGUUAUCCGGAUUUACUGGGUGUAAAGGGAGCGUAGACGGCAGCACAAGUCUGGAGUGAAAUCCCGGGGCUUAACCCCGGAACUGCUUUGGAAACUGUGCGGCUGGAGUGCAGGAGGGGUAAGCGGAAUUCCUAGUGUAGCGGUGAAAUGCGUAGAUAUUAGGAGGAACACCAGUGGCGAAGGCGACUUUCUGGACUGUACCUGACGCUGAGGCGCGAAAGCGUGGGUAGCGAACGGGAUUAGAUACCCCUGUAUG
rnacentral:rRNA from 1 species